GCAUUGAUUGAGUCAUCCACUAUCAGGAGACGGAAUCUGUUUUAAGGCCCUGUUUAUCAGGGUGAACCUACUUAGAGUUGCUGCACUUGUAAAAGAAUGUCACCAAUUCUGAGGU